UACCAGCUCUCCGAGUGGUGUGGAUGUUUAUUGGGCCUAAAGCAUCCGUAGCUGGCUGGGCAAGUCCCCUGUUAAAUCCACCGAUUUAAUCGUUGGUGUGCGGGGGAUACUGUUCGGCUAGGGGACGGGAGAGGCCGACGGUAUUUUCGGGGUAGGGGUGAAAUCCUAUAAUCCCGGGAAGACCACCAGUGGCGAAGGCUGUCGGCUAGAACGCGCCCGACGGUGAGGGAUGAAAGCUGGGGGGAGCGAACCGGAUUAGAUACCCGGGUAGUCCCAGCUGUAAACGAUGCAGGCUAGGUGUUUGGGCGGCCACGUGCCGCUCUAGUGCCGCAGAGAAGUCGUUAAGCCUGCCGCCUGGGGAGUACGGCCGCAAGGCUGAAACUUAAAGGAAUUGGCGGGGAGCACCACAAGGGGUGAAGCUUGCGGUUU
rnacentral:rRNA from 1 species